rnacentral:rRNA from 1 species
UGGCGGACGGGUGAGUAAUGUCUGGGAAACUGCCCGAUGGAGGGGGAUAACUACUGGAAACGGUAGCUAAUACCGCAUAACGUCGCAAGACCAAAGCGGGGGACCUCCGGGCCUCGCGCCAUCAGAUGAACCCAUAUGGGAUUAGCUAGUAGGUAAGGUAACGGCUUACCUAGGCGACGAUCCCUAGCUGGUCUGAGAGGAUGACCAGCCACACUGGGACUGAGACACGGCCCAG